CCCUGCCAUUUGUACACACCGCCCGUCGCUCCUACCGAUGAAUGAUCCGGUGAAAUCUUGGGAUUGAACAGAAUCCAACUUUGUUGUGUCUGUUUAAAAACUUGCUUGAACCUUGUCAUUUAGAGGAAGGAGAA
rnacentral:rRNA from 1 species